rnacentral:rRNA from 1 species
CUAAGCUACUAAGAGCAAACGGCGGAUGCCUUGGUGUCAAGUGAAGAAGAAAGACGUGGAAAGCUGCGAUAAGCCUCGGUAAGGAGCUAAACAUCCUUUGACCCGGGGAUUUCUGAAUGGGGCAACCCGGCACGGUUAAUACCGUGUCAUCCUUAACUGAAUACAUAGGUUAAGGAGGGUAACGGGGAGAACUGAAACAUCUUAGUACCCCCAGGAAUAGAAAGUAAAAACGAUUCCCUAAGUAGCGGCGAGCGAACGGGGACCAGCCCAAACCGUUAACGUGUCAAGCCCGAAAGCGUUGCGUUAACGGGGUCGCGGGAUGCAGAUCGGAUCCGUUUCGGAGGAUCCAAUAAGUUACAAAAGAUAUCAUUAGCUGAAUCAGCUGGAAAGCUGAACCAUAGCAGGUGACAGUCCUGUAAGCGAAAGUGAUCUCUCUUAUUUUUGCACUCCCAAGUACUGCGGAACACGAGAAAUUCUGUGGGAAUUUGUGUGGACCAUCACAUAAGGCUAAAUACGACUUGGCAACCGAUAGCGUACCAGUACCGUGAGGGAAAGGUGAAAAGUACCCCUGUUAGGGGAGUGAAAUAGUACCUGAAACCGUUUGCUUACAAGCUGUGGGAGCACAUUUAUGUGUGACGCGUGCCUUUGCAUAAUGAGUCAGCGAGUUACUUAAUGCGGCAAGGUUAAGCCGAUAGGUGUAGCCGUAGCGAAAGCGAGUCUGAACAGGGCGCAAGUUGCAUUGAGUAGACCCGAAACCAGGUGAUCUAUCCAUGUCCAGGGUGAAGCGGGAGUAAAAUCUCGUGGAGGCCCGAACCGUCACAGGUUAAAAACUGUUCGGAUGAGGUGUGGAUAGGGGUGAAAGGCCAAACAAACCUGGAGAUAGCUGGUUCUCUCCGAAAUAUAUUUAGGUAUAGCCUCGUAUGUUUCUUUUUGGAGGUAGAGCACUGAAUGGGCUAGGGGUCUCACCAGAUUACCAAACCUAAUCAAACUUCGAAUACCAAAAAGUCAGAAUACGGGAGUCAGCCCGCGGGAGCUAAGUUCCGCGGACGAGAGGGAAACAACCCAGACCGCCAGCUAAGGUCCCCAAAUCUAUGCUAAGUGGAGAAGGAUGUGGGAAUGCCCAGACAACCAGGAGGUUGGCUUAGAAGCAGCCAUCCUUUAAAGAAAGCGUAAUAGCUCACUGGUCGAGUGGAUCUGCGCCGAAAAUGUAUCGGGGCUAAAGCAUAGUACCGAAGCUGCGGAAUGAAAUUUAUUUCAUUGGUAGGAGAGCGUUGUGUCGUCAUAGAAUCGCAACCGUGAGGUUGUGUGGAGAUGUCACAAGUGCCCAUGCUGACAUGAGUAGCGAUAAAGCGGGUGAGAGGCCCGCUCGCCGAAAACCCAAGGUUUCCUGAGUAAAGCUAAUCUUCUCAGGGUUAGUCGAUCCCUAAGGCGAGGCCGAAAGGCGUAGUCGAUGGAAAACAGAUUAAUAUUUCUGUACCACCUUGUUAUCGUUUGAGAAACGGGGGGACGCAGGAGGGCAGGUCAUCCGUCUGUUGGAAUAGGCGGUUCAAGCUUGUAGCUUAAAUCCCAGGCAAAUCCGGGAUUUUUUAAGGCCGAGAAGUGAUGUCGAGGGAUUUAUCCCAUAAAGUGACUGCACCCAUGCUGCCAAGAAAAGCCUCUAUCGAGAUAACAGGUGAUCGUACCGUAAACCGACACAGGUAGGUGGGGAGAGUAUCCCAAGGCGCUUGAGAGAACCCUGGUUAAGGAACUCGGCAAAAUGAUACCGUAACUUCGGGAGAAGGUAUGCCCCUGACCGUUAGUAUUAUACUUUACAAAGCGGAUGGGGGCCGCAGAGAAUUGGUGGUAGCGACUGUUUACUAAAAACAUAGGACUCUGCAAAGUCGCAAGACGAGGUAUAGGGUCUGACGCCUGCCCGGUGCCGGAAGGUUAAGGGGAUUUGUUAGCUUUUAGCGAAGCACUGAACUGAAGCCCCGGUAAACGGCGGCCGUAACUAUAACGGUCCUAAGGUAGCGAAAUUCCUUGUCGGGUAAGUUCCGACCUGCACGAAUGGCGUAACGACUUCCACACUGUCUCAACCAGGGACUCAGCGAAAUUGCAGUGGCGGUGAAGAUACCGUCUACCCGCGAAAAGACGGAAAGACCCCGGCACCUUUACUACAGCUUGACAUUGGAUUUUGGGAUAUGAUGUGCAGGAUAGGUGGGAGACUUUGAAGCAUGCGCGCCAGUGUGU